GUUAUAAGUAUGUAGAAGAAAAAUAUUGAAAAGGCAUUUGAAAAAAAUAUGGUAAGAUUUUGUGUGUUUGAAUUGAGAAAAUUAGUCUUUUUGUUGUUGUGUGUUGAUUGACUUUUUUUUGUUAGAUAAUUGAUAGAGUGGUUGCAAUAGAGGAAGAGCUAAAAUAUGACAUAGUCAAUGCUUCUCUGUUUGAACAAGGACAACAAUUUGUGGAUGUUAUUGAUUAUCAUAGAUUGGUGACUGAGAAUAAAGAUUUCAAAGAGAGAAUAGCAGUUCUU
rnacentral:lncRNA from 1 species